AUCUGAACCUUCGGGGAACGAUAACGGCGUCGAGCGGCGGACGGGUGAGUAAUGCCUAGGAAAUUGCCCUGAUGUGGGGGAUAACCAUUGGAAACGAUGGCUAAUACCGCAUGAUGCCUACGGGCCAAAGAGGGGGACCUUCGGGCCUCUCGCGUCAGGAUAUGCCUAGGUGGGAUUAGCUAGUUGGUGAGGUAAGGGCUCACCAAGGCGACGAUCCCUAGCUGGUCUGAGAGGAUGAUCAGCCACACUGGAACUGAGACACGGUCCAGACUCCUACGGGAGGCAGCAGUGGGGAAUAUUGCACAAUGGGCGCAAGCCUGAUGCAGCCAUGCCGCGUGUGUGAAGAAGGCCUUCGGGUUGUAAAGCACUUUCAGUCGUGAGGAAGGUGGUGUAGUUAAUAGCUGCAUUAUUUGACGUUAGCGACAGAAGAAGCACCGGCUAACUCCGUGCCAGCAGCCGCGGUAAUACGGAGGGUGCGAGCGUUAAUCGGAAUUACUGGGCGUAAAGCGCAUGCAGGUGGUUUGUUAAGUCAGAUGUGAAAGCCCGGGGCUCAACCUCGGAAUAGCAUUUGAAACUGGCAGACUAGAGUACUGUAGAGGGGGGUAGAAUUUCAGGUGUAGCGGUGAAAUGCGUAGAGAUCUGAAGGAAUACCGGUGGCGAAGGCGGCCCCCUGGACAGAUACUGACACUCAGAUGCGAAAGCGUGGGGAGCAAACAGGAUUAGAUACCCUGGUAGUCCACGCCGUAAACGAUGUCUACUUGGAGGUUGUGGCCUUGAGCCGUGGCUUUCGGAGCUAACGCGUUAAGUAGACCGCCUGGGGAGUACGGUCGCAAGAUUAAAACUCAAAUGAAUUGACGGGGGCCCGCACAAGCGGUGGAGCAUGUGGUUUAAUUCGAUGCAACGCGAAGAACCUUACCUACUCUUGACAUCCAGAGAACUUUCCAGAGAUGGAUUGGUGCC
rnacentral:rRNA from 1 species